AUGUCGUGGUGUGGGCAUGCUGCAAUGUAUUCCUGAAGGCGUUCCCAAGCUUCCGAGACUAUUUUGUCCUGGAGUUGUUGAAAACUAGAAAUCCUGUUCCGAAGGGU